CUUUACUUGGCGUCGUUUGCGUUCUUUGUCUCGAUGUGUGGUCGCCAUUUCUGUCGUGUUUGUUCUGGUUGUUUGAUCGAGAUUGUUGAAUGUUUCUAGGGGAGUUUGUUUGUGUUUGGUUGGAUAUGGUUACUUGGUUCCUGAUGUUGUUGUGGCUGUUGUUUGGGGACUUUUGGCGGUAUUUGAUGAGGAGUCUUGAUAUCUCGUGCUGGGUUUGGCUGUUUAGUGUUGGGUUGAGGCCUAGGAGAUUGGUCUUUUGAUUGAGCAGUUUAGAAGGGCAUGCUCUGUUGUUUCUUCUUCUACCUUACAAUCUUGCCAUAGCGGGCUUGUAUUGCUGUUGAAUCUUGCUAGGUGGCCAUUUAGCCUAUUGUGUCCUGUUCUUAAUCUGAAUAGGAUCCUGAUGUUUUUUCAGUUGGGUGCUUUGCUCAUCCACUGAGAGCUCGUUGGAAAUUGUGUUGCUGGGUUGUGAACUUGAGCUUUCCUGGGCUGCUAGCUUGUCCGCUAUCUCAUUGCCUUCGAUUCCUAUGUGGCUAGGGAUCCAGAAGAGGGUGAUUUUAGUCCCAGCACUUCUCAUAGCGUCAGCUGUGUGUAUGAUGGAGUGGAUGAUUGGGGUCAGUUCCAUUGCCUUCAGGAUGCCGUGGCCUUCUGCUGAGUAUAUUGAGGAGUUUCCAGCGAGUGUGUACGCUUCCUGUAUUGAGAGGCUGGGGCCUUGUAUAUAAUGCAGAGGGAGUCGAUGUCUGGUCCGUGCUUGAGUGAACCCAGCGAAGCCCUUUGUCGAAAUGGAUGUCUAGGUGUUUUGCCUCUUUUGCUUCUGGGAUCCUGGUACCUGAUAGGAAGAGGAGAGGAUCUGUUUGUUUCCUUCUUUGCCUGGUACGGGGUGAGUUUAUUUUCCGCUUCUCUCCCUUCUUCUGCAUGAAUAUGGAACUCGAUGUCAUCUGCGAAUAGAAGGGUUUGCCCUGGCUCCUUUAGUAUUGGGAAAUCGUCAAGCAUGACGGAGAAGAGGAAUGGACUCAGCGGAGAACCUUGAGGCAGGAUGUUAGGGAGAUCGGUCGAUAUGAAUCUGGGGUGUGCACUGGUUUAGCUGGUUUGCGGAUAGGGAUAAUUGUUGCUAACUUCCAACUAUCCGGGACAUAGGACGUUUCUAAUAGCUUGUUAAACAGGCCAUUCUAUUGGAGUUGCAUAGGAUUCCCCCUUUAUUAGGAUCGCAGGCAUUUCUGGCCUUCCUGGCCUCCGCGACUGCUCUUUUACAUUGCGCAUUCCACCAGAUUUGGGGUGGUUCCCUGCUGAUCUUUUUGUUCGGCUUGGAUAUGGUGAUGGAGCUUUGAUCGUUGGCUUUGAUAAGGGCAUUUUGAAUGAUUUGGUAAGUUGCUUUUGGAUCAUUUGUAGAAUAGAAGCUGCUAUUGGUGAUGGAGUUAUUUAAUGAAGUGUUCCAGGUCAACCAGUUUGCAUCUUCGAAGUUCCAGCAUGGGGGUUUGCUUAUGGAGAUUGAUGCUUUGGCUUGGAUGUUGAUGUGUAUUGGGACAUGAUCGCUACCAAUGUGGGGGCCUUUUGUUGUCUCUGCUAGUAUGCCUAGCUGGGGUGACAUGAUUGUUAAGUCUAUGGUGUAGGUUGGCAAUUGCUCUUCCGCUUUGGUUCGGCUGUCUGCAAUCCGUUUCCCAUCGGCUGUGAUGACCAUUGAAGUCACCCCCCAGGAUAAGAUUGUUUGGACGCUGUGUGAGUUGGUGGAGUUCUUCUUCGCUGCAGUUAUUCCCAUUUGGCUUCUGGCGUUGUACUGGAGGAGGGAUAUCAUUUGGUGAGUUUGCUGUUGUAACCGUAGGUGGUUUUUCUGGGGGGAUCUGGGGGUUCCUGCUUGUUUAUUUUGUUAGGCGGAGGUAGGGCUUUAUUCUGGCCUCUGGAGUCUGGCUCGACUGUCUCCAUCUCUUCUCCUUUGGUUUUAGGUACCUGCCGUAUGACAACUCUCUGGAAGCUGUGGCUUUUUGGGAGCGUACAAGUGACACCUAUAGUGCCUUUUGCUAUCGUCUUGAUGGAGAGGAGGUGUUCUUGUUGCAGGAUAGACGUGGGUCUAAUGAAGAUGUCCCCUCCUGGUGCAAUAGUCACCCCACCUUUAGCGAAUGUGCCUAGUUCGUUUUCUAGGUCUUGAAUGAUUUCACUUAUUUCUUUGGAUUUUUUUUGCUUGAAUGAACUUCCAUCACUUAGUUUUAUGAAUACAGGUGUCGGUAAAUAA
rnacentral:sRNA from 1 species